rnacentral:rRNA from 1 species
GACGAACGCUGGCGGCGUGCCUAAUACAUGCAAGUAGGACGCAGUUGCGAAAGGGAGAGUAACGCGUAGGUAACUACAUAUUAGAGGGGGAUAACAAUUGGAAACGAUAGCUAAUACCGCAUACUAGUAGAUGGACCUGCGUUGUAAUAGCUAGUAGGUGGGGUAAUGGCCUACCUAGGUAAGGGUACAUAGCCGACCGGGGAGGGUGUACGGCCACACUGGGACUGAGACACGGCCCAAGCUCCUGAGGGAGGGAACAGUAGGGGAAUUUCGGACAAGGGGGGAAACCUGACCGAGCAACGGCGCGUGGGUGGAGGAGGUUUUCGGAUCGUAAAGCUCUGUUGUUAAGGGAGCGGUACUUAACCAGAAAGGGACGGCUAACUACGUGCCAGCAGCCGCGGUAAUUC